UACGGGGGGGGCAAGCGUUGUUCGGAAUUACUGGGCGUAAAGGGCGCGUAGGCGGCCUGCUAAGUCGGAUGUGAAAUCCCUCGGCUCAACCGAGGAACUGCAUCCGAUACUGGCGGGCUUGAAUCCGGGAGAGGGAUGUGGAAUUCCUGGUGUAGCGGUGGAAUGCGCAGAUAUCAGGAAGAACACCCGUGGCGAAGGCGGCUCUCUGGGACGGUACUGACGCUGAGACGCGAAAGCGUGGGGAGCGAACAGG
rnacentral:rRNA from 1 species